UACAGAGGUCCCAAGCGUUGUUCGGAUUCACUGGGCGUAAAGGGUGCGUAGGUGGCGCUGUAAGUCGGGUGUGAAAUUUCGGAGCUUAACUCCGAAACUGCAUUCGAUACUGCGGUGCUUGAGGACUGGAGAGGAGACUGGAAUUCAUGGUGUAGCAGUGAAAUGCGUAGAUAUCGUAAGGAAGACCAGUGGCGAAGGCGGGUCUCUGGACAGUUCCUGACGCUGAGGCACGAAGGCCAGGGGAGCAAACGGG
rnacentral:rRNA from 1 species